rnacentral:rRNA from 1 species
ACGGGUGAGUAAUGCAUAGGAAUCUACCCUGAAGUGGGGAACAACCCGGGGAAACUCGGGCUAAUACCGCAUAACUUCUACGGAACAAAGUUGGGGACCUUCGGGCCUGGCGCUUUGGGAUGAGCCUAUGUCGGAUUAGCUAGUUGGUAGGGUAAAGGCCUACCAAGGCUACGAUCCGUAGCUGGUCUGAGAGGACGACCAGCCACACUGGGACUGAGACACGGCCCAGACUCCUACGGGAGGCAGCAGUGGGGAAUUUUGGACAAUGGGGGAAACCCUGAUCCAGCAAUGCCGCGUGUGUGAAGAAGGCCUUCGGGUUGUAAAGCACUUUUGGUGGGAAAGAAAACUGUAGGAUUAAUACCCUUGCAGAUUGACGUUACCCAAAGAAAAAGCACCGGCUAACUCUGUGCCAGCAGCCGCGGUAAUACAGAGGGUGCAAGCGUUAAUCGGAAUUACUGGGCGUAAAGCGCGUGUAGGUGGAUAUUUAAGUCGGAUGUGAAAUCCCCGGGCUCAACCUGGGAACUGCAUCCGAUACUGAAUAUCUAGAGUAUAGUAGAGGGAAGCGGAAUUUCCGGUGUAGCGG